rnacentral:rRNA from 1 species
GACAGAGGGUGCAAACGUUGCUCGGAAUUACUGGGCGUAAAGCGCGUGUAGGCUGACCUUCAAGUCGGACGUGAAAUCCCUGAGCUCAACUCAGGAACUGCAUCCGAAACUGAAGGCCUAGAGUAGUGGAGAGGGAAGCAGAAUUCCUGGUGUAGAGGUGAAAUUCGUAGAUAUCAGGAGGAACACCGGUGGCGAAGGCGGCUCACUGGCCCGGUACUGACGCUGAGGUGCGGAAAGCGUGGGGAGCAAACAGG